GUACUUACCUGGCAUGGGAGAUACCAUGAUCACGAAGGUGGUUUUCCCAGGUCAGUGUUUAUCCCUGGCACUCAAGAUGUGCUUACUUGGUGAUUUCCCCAAAUGUGGGAAAUAUGACUGCAUAAUUUGUGGUAGUCGGGGACUGUGUUUGUGCUUUCCCCCC
rnacentral:snRNA from 1 species